rnacentral:lncRNA from 1 species
GGAAAUAAAAGUUAGAGAGAGAAAGGAAGGAAGGGCAGCUGUUCUGAUCAGAAGAGCAAUCCAAAUCCAAUGGGCGAAUCGACGACACUCCUUCACUUCCCCACUGUUUUUUUUUGCAACUUGAGUUGGUGUGACUCAUAAAUUUCAACUUUGGAUCUUCAGUUUUUUUUUUACUCUGUGUGAAUGGAAUCUAAAAGAUGAGAGAGAGAGAGAGAGAGAGAAAUUUUGGAAGCCACCCUUUCUUCUUUAAGAGAAACAUCAUGGCGAUUUCUGAUUGGUGGAAUUGGGUUUUCUCUAUCAGAAAGUAGCCAAUGCCUUGUCCAAUUUGAUGCUUAUCUAAACAAUCAGUGGACUCCUUAGCAUUUAGCAGGCCUCUCUCUCUCUCUCUCUCUCUCUCUCUCUCUCUCUCUCUCAGAAUCUGUUUUAUUAUUGAUUAUGAUAUGAUGAGUUAUAUGUUGUAUUGUUUGAAUCAUUUUAGAUUCUGGUUAUAUGGGUUUCGUAUCUCGAUUUCUGUCCAGUUUAUCAUGCUCACAUGUGUAUAUGAUCUUAUAACAUUAAGUUGUUUUUCUUUUACUCUCUAUGCAUUAUUCAGCUGCCAUUCUAGAAAAUAAUUCAUUCUAGUACAAAAAAAUAUGUGUUUCAUUUGGAAUAUAGUCCCAUACCUCUUAGAUUCCUCAAUUUUUUAAAAUAAAUUUUAAAUAUGUGUAUGUAUCAUAUGAUUGCAGCCUCCAUUUCAGUGCACACCAACUGUUUAUGUUUAUGAUUUUAAAUUUCACUGGAUCUAAUACGUUAAUUCUACUACAAGUAAAGCACAUCAAGAAAAUCAUUUUUGUUGAUCUUCAAAAUAUAAACCAAAAUUAUAUCGUGUAUGUUAGUCUCAACUCGUAAACCUUAAUCAACAAUCUAUGCUACAGUUUAAUUAUAUGGUUCAUCAUAACUUUUGAUGUGAAAACUCAGUAGAAUAUGAUGGCUGUUUUUACCAUUGUUAACAGACAGAAGACUGCUAAAGUUGUAGGAAGCCAUGCAUCUUCCAUACUCGGAUUUAACAGUUUUUGAAUAAUUAUUGUGAGAAAUAACAUCAAUGAAUAGUAAACCUGAAGGAAAUGAGUAAAAUAGUAUGGUGAAAUUCUGAUUCUAUCAGGCUAGUGGUGUUAUCUUUCCUCAGAAAAAGGUCCAGGUGCUCUGUUUUUGCACUACACAUUAAUGUUAUUGGUCAAUUUUCAAUAAUUGAUUUUAUCCAUUUCCUAUUUUUAUGCAUAUACAUCUACAUCUACAUAUAUAUAUAAUCACAUAUGUAAAUAUAUAAAUAUACUAUGCAUGCACAUGCACAUGCACAUGCAUACAAUACAUACACAUACAGAAAGAAGCUUACCUUACAACAAGAAACGAAAUUCUCCCAUCAAUUCCCAUUGCCUACUUCUGAAUGUUUUUGAGGUUGGUCCCAUUACACAAGCUUGCAGACAAAGAAAUAUUAUUAUUAUUAUUACCCUUUUAAACAACUUAAUGACCAAAAUGCCCUGUCACCCAAAGUAGUAUUAUUUGGCCUAGAUUCACUUAAACGAAUGCAUAUCAUAUUAUCACAUCUUCUAAUACCAUGAAAGAUAUGAAUGUGAACAAUUCUUCUUUAAAUUUAUACUAGAUUUUUUUUUGUUAUUAUGCCUAUUAUUGAUAGUACAUGUAUAACUAAAAUAUGCUUUUAUUUUGCUUAUAUAAGCUGCAUCUUUUAGUUUAUUUGCUAGAAUUCCUUUCGAAUGUACAAUUAAAUAAUCAUUUUUUGCUGAUGCCCUUUAUUUUUGGUAUUGUUUUCUGGCAUGAGUAUCCUAAGGGAUAGGAUUUUAAAAAGUUGAUGAAUGAUGAGGGGU